rnacentral:rRNA from 1 species
AACUGCGGAAGGAUCAUUACAGAAUAAACUUUAUGGGUUGUAGCUGGCUCUUUCGGGAGCAUGUGCACGCCUGUCACUUUUGUCUUUCCACCUGUGCACCCUUUGUAGACUUUGGAAUUUGAAAACUAUCUGAAAGCUUUAAAAGGCCUUUGGUUUGAGGGAUUGUUGGGUCAGCUUCCCUUGCAGGUUCCAAGUCUAUGUUUUUUAAUAUACCCCAUAGUAUGUUUUAGAAUGUUAUCAAAGGCCCUAGUGCCUAUAAAAUUUAUACAACUUUCAGCAACGGAUCUCUUGGCUCUCGCAUCGAUGAAGAACGCAGCGAAAUGCGAUAAGUAAUGUGAAUUGCAGAAUUCAGUGAAUCAUCGAAUCUUUGAACGCACCUUGCGCUCCUUGGUAUUCCGAGGAGCAUGCCUGUUUGAGUGUCAUUAAAUUCUCAACCUUAUCAUCUUUGAUGAAAAGGCUUGGACUUGGGGGAUUUAUUUGCAGGCUUCAACCAUAUGAAGUUGGCUCCCCUUAAAUGUAUUAGCCGGAAAUGCCCUUGUGGUCCGUCUAUCGGUGUGAUAAUUAUCUACGCUGUGGACAAGGCUGCCAUUUUGUAAUGGGAUUUCUGCUUCAAACCGUCCUUACGGACAAUAUUUGACCAUUUGACCUCAAAUCAGGUAGGACUACCCGCUGAACUUAA